CUGGCGUUCACCGUCACUUUCUGCCGCUCGGACAAUCAAACACUCGUGAUUCAGAGUUACGCUGCUCUUAUGACACCAUCUGUCGCGUGUGUUCUGCAUAGAACGAGGAGAGGAAGCGAGCCGAGCAUUGAGUGCUGCCUGCUGUCAGUGUGCGAGUGAAAAACAUUUGUAGCGCAUAGUUUAAUGAUCGUGGGAAAUUUUAGUAGUGGCGCUCAGCGCACCGCCGCUGCUGAAUCCAUAUAGAGGAGCCACUGGCUGACCAUUCCCAGAUAUCAACAAUACUCAUGGAUACGUACUUAAAAAUGGUACCACUGGAAGGGACCUGGAUGCUAUAUAAAGCUGCUGGUUAGACAGAAUCUCCCUUAUUCAAUUAAAGCCUGUGAUAUAAUAUGUCAGCAGUUGAAUAAAAUGAAUAUUCUCUAUUUACUACUACUAGUAGUAAAAGCUGGUUUAUGUUCUCAUUAAUGUUCCUGAUUGUAGGUAGAUUAGUGCAUUUAAUUAAAUGUUCUGGUAUCUGAGGCAGAAGGUUAUACAGGAGCCUAUCUUUCCAAAGAUUUGGGUGGAAAGGGCUCCCUGUACAUCAUGCCCAUCCAGGAUACUUUGGACACCUCCCCCCUUGCCAGGCACAUCCAAGAUUUUGAAAAGAUGCCAAAAGCCUGAUGUGCCCUCUUGUCAUCUGAGGAUGCCAGUUCAGUUGCUGGCUUUACAUGCCCAGGAGUGUGAGCCAGAAUUUGGAACCAGAUGUGAUGACAGAUUUUGAGGAGUCUCCAGCUUUGAGCAAUCCUGGGAAUACAUAAGGUCUGCUGCCAUGUACAACUGUCUCUCAGAAGAUAGAUGUUAAGGUGGCCUGUUCUUUGUGCUCCGAGUUGUUUCCUGAGUAUUUUGUUGAAGUACAUGCCAGCACCUGUGGAUAAUGUACAGAGCAAGAGACGCACACCACUGAAUUGGACAACAACGAAAAAACAGUCUAAAAGUCUGACAGGACGGCUGGAGAGAUUAUUGCAAUGAGCAUUACACCUAACUACACCUAACUAUUCCGGGAGUGGUGCUACAUUUCCACUGGGGAGAUUGACAAAGAGAUGGUUUCCAAAGAUGAUGUUGAGGUGGAUGAACCUAAAGCUCUGAUUAACCUCCUUGACAGAAUAUUAGCAUGCGGGUACAGUGGUCCUAUAACACAGGAGAGAAAGGAAGAAAUCCUAAAGGCCAUUAUCUUGCACUCAUCUGUCCGUAUCCUACCGAUGCUGCAGCAGAUUUGCUCAGGCAUGAAGCUAUAUGGAAAGCAACCACACACAUUUCGGCCGCUGUUUGUUCCUGGGCUUUUGGAAAAGAUGCUGAAUUUCUGAUGGGAGCCAUGUCUCCAACCUUCAGUGUGUUGGGCUCACUGAAACGCCAGAGGGAAUCAAAGAUUGUGAACUUCUUGAGAGAUUUCAUCCAGAGCAUUGAAAAUGAAG